rnacentral:rRNA from 1 species
UUAGAUAGCCUAAAUACCCUAAAAGCACCAGAACCCAUCUGAUCUUGGAAACAAAGCUAGGUCAGCCCUGGUUAGUAUUUGGGUGGGAGACCACAAAGAAAUGCCAGGUGUGGUGCAUU